rnacentral:rRNA from 1 species
UACGUAGGGUGCAAGCGUUGUCCGGAAUUAUUGGGCGUAAAGAGCUUGUAGGCGGUCUGUCGCGUCUGCUGUGAAAAUCCGGGGCUCAACCCCGGACUUGCAGUGGGUACGGGCAGACUAGAGUGCGGUAGGGGAGACUGGAAUUCUCGGUGUAGCGGUGAAAUGCGUAGAUAUCGAGAGGAACACCUGCGGCGAAGGCGGGUAGCUGGGCCGACACUGACGCUGGAUGCGCGAAAGCGUGGGGAGCAAACAGG